rnacentral:ncRNA from 1 species
CUGGCUUGUGGUGGCCAAAGUGUUCAUAGUGAUGUUACUUUUCAAUCCUUCAGUGCUGGCUCCUCCUAUCAUCGGGAAGCAGAGCUGACCAAGUGUUGCACAGGGGACCCGUGAGAAGGGAAUGCAAGCUAGGUUUACACCGUCUGUGAGACUAGUU